rnacentral:lncRNA from 1 species
CUGGAUUUAUUUUUUACUCUGAGCUACAAAUGGUCUUCCAUAUUUAUUAUCAGUAAAUACCUUGUUUCUCCUUUUCCACGCUGGAGUCAUUGUCUUCAUCAGUAUCUAGAGCCAUAAAAGCAUUAAUCAGUCGAUUGAUAUUGUGGUUUAAUGACCGUAAAAGGUGAAGGCUUGAAUGUUUACCUUCCCCUCCUGUUUCUGAGCUGUCUGUGUCGCUCUUGCUGUCGCUGUCGGAGCUUUCUGUGUCUGUGGACUCUGUGCUGUUCUUCUCUUUGUCCUGCUCUUUAUCUUUGCUGUCAGAGUCCGAGUCUGAAUUUGAGUCUAGACUGGAGCUGUCAGACUCAGGGUUGUCUUCCUGCUUGUCUUCUGUCAUUUCCUCCAGUGGACUUUCGUCAGACUGACUGGCUGUGGCGUCUUCUUUUGAGCUGGUGUCUUCCUUGUCCUGCUCGUCUGGUUUGGAUUGGUCCUCUUUAUCUUUUCCCUCAUCGCUAUCGCUGCCCGUCUCAUUGGUGUCCUCCUUCUCAUUGGCGUCUUCUUUUGAGCUGGUGUCUUCCUUGUCCUGCUCGUCUGGUUUGGAUUGGUCCUCUUUAUCUUUUCCCUCAUCGCUAUCGCUGCCCGUCUCAUUGGUGUCCUCCUUCUCAUUGGCGUCCUUCUCCCUGUCUCUAUCAUCUUCAGUGUCUUUCGGGUCGCUGCUGUCCUUGUCUUUAUCCUCAGCGCUGUCCUUGGCGUCUGCUGCAUCAGGGGAAUCUGCCGUGUCUUGAUCGCUGCUGGUGUCUGCGUCGCUGUCAGAGUCCUGGUCCUUCUCUUUCUUCUCCGUGCUGUCGGUGUCUUUCGAUUCUGAAUCUUGGUCUUUGGAGUCGUCUGAAAGUUUCACCUCAUCAGUGUCUGAGUCGCUUUUGUCUGGCGUCUCAGAGGUUUCUUGACCCUCGUCUUCUGAGUCUUUACUGGAGUCAUUACCGGUGUCUUUCUCGUCUUUCUCGCCACUCUUUUCAUCCGAGUCGCCAUCUGGUUUGUCUUUGUCAGAAUCUGCAUGUAAAAAAAAAACCAGUAUUUUAUUAUUAUAUAUCAUUAAACUGACAUAAAUCAU